rnacentral:rRNA from 1 species
CAGAGACUGCAAGCGUUAUUCGGAUUCACUGGGCGUAAAGGGUGCGCAGGCGGCCAAGUGUGUGAGGCGUGAAAGCCUGGAGCUUAACUCCAGAAUUGCACCUCAAACUACAUGGCUAGAGCAUUGGAGAGGGUAGCGGAAUUCACGGUGUAGCAGUGAAAUGAGUAGAUAUCGUGAGGAACACCAGAGGCGAAGGCGGCUACCUGGACAAUUGCUGACGCUCAGGCACGAAAGCGUGGGGAGCAAAAGGGAUUAGAUACCCCUGUAGUCCACGCCCUAAACGGUGCACACUAGGUCUUGGCGGAUUCGACCCCACCAGGGCCCAAGCUAACGCGUUAAGUGUGCCGCCUGAGGACUACGGCCGCAAGGCUA